rnacentral:rRNA from 1 species
GUCGGCAAAUUGACACCGUAACUUCGGAAGAAGGUGUGCCGCUAGUAGGUGAAGGUGUACAACUGGAGCCAAACGCGGUUGCAAAAAAUAGGUGGCUGCGACUGUUUAUUAAAAACACAGCACUCUGCAAACACGAAAGUGGACGUAUAGGGUGUGACGCCUGCCCGGUGCCGGAAGGUUAAAUGAUGGGGUGCAAGCUCUUGAUUGAAGCCCCGGUAAACGGCGGCCGUAACGAUAACGGUCCUAAGGUAGCGAAAUUCCUUGUCGGGUAAGUUCCGACCUGCACGAAUGGCGUAACGAUGGCCACACUGUCUCCAACCGAGACUCAGCGAAGUUGAAAUGUUUGCGAUGAUGCAAUCUACCUGCGGCUAGACGGAAAGACCCCGUGCACCUUUACUGUAGCUUUGCAUGGGACUGUGAACCGAUCUGUGUAGGAUAGCUGGGAGGCUUUGAAGUGGGGGCGCUAGCCCUCAUGGAGCCAACGUUGAAAUACCAGCCUGGUUUGUUUGCGGUUCUAACCUACGCUCGUGAAUCCGGGCGGGGGACAGUGCAUGGUAGGCAGUUUGACUGGGGCGGUCUCCUCCCAAAGAGUAACGGAGGAGCUCGAAGGUACGCUAGGUACGGUCGGAAAUCGUACUGAUAGUGCAAUAGCAUAAGCGUGCUUAACUGCGAGACUGACAAGUCGAGCAGGUGCGAAAGCAUGACAUAGUGAUCCGGUGGUUCUGUAUGGAAGGGCCAUCGCUCAACGGAUAAAAGGUACGCCGGGGAUAACAGGCUGAUGACCCCAAGAGUUCAUAUCGACGGGGUCGUUUGGCACCUCGAUGUCGGCUCAUCACAUCCUGGGGCUGUAGCCGGUCCCAAGGGUAUGGCUGUUCGCCAUUUAAAGUGGUACGUGAGCUGGGUUUAAAACGUCGUGAGACAGUUUGGUCCCUAUCUGCCGUGGGCGUUGGACAUUUGAAGGGGGCUGCUCCUAGUACGAGAGGACCGGAGUGGACGAACCUCUGGUGUACCGGUUGUGACGCCAGUCGCAUCGUCGGGUAGCUAAGUUCGGAAGAGAUAACCGCUGAAAGCAUCUAAGCGGGAAACUCGCCUUAAGAUGAGAUGUCCCGGGGACUUGAUCCCCCUAAAGGGUCGCGGAAGACCACCGCGUUGAUAGGCUGGGUGUGGAAGCGCAGUAAUGCGUUAAGCUAACCAGUACUAAUUGCCCGUGCGGCUUGAUCCG